GACGAACGCUGGCGGCGCGCCUAACACAUGCAAGUCGAACGAGCGAGAGAGAGCUUGCUUUCUCAAGCGAGUGGUGAACGGGUGAGUAACGCGUGAGGAACCUGCCUCAAAGAGGGGGACAACAGUUGGAAACGACUGCUAAUACCGCAUAAGCCCACGACCCGGCAUCGGGUAGAGGGAAAAGGAGCAAUCCGCUUUGAGAUGGCCUCGCGUCCGAUUAGCUAGUUGGUGAGGUAACGGCCCACCAAGGCGACGAUCGGUAGCCGGACUGAGAGGUUGAACGGCCACAUUGGGACUGAGACACGGCCCAGACUCCUACGGGAGGCAGCAGUGGGGAAUAUUGCACAAUGGGGGAAACCCUGAUGCAGCGACGCCGCGUGGAGGAAGAAGGUCUUCGGAUUGUAAACUCCUGUUGUUGAGGAAGAUAAUGACGGUACUCAACAAGGAAGUGACGGCUAACUACGUG
rnacentral:rRNA from 1 species